UUUAUACUUUUGCUUGAGAGGAGGUGGACAGGUGGCACAUGUUACCUUUGGACAGAGACAGUCUAGGCUAGCUGUUUCCCCGUGUCUUUGAGCUAAGCUUAGCUAACUGCCUGCUGGCAGUAGCUUCAGGUUUAGCGUGCAGACAUGAGAGU